GACGAACGCUGGCGGCGUGCUUAACACAUGCAAGUCGAACGGUGAAGCGCCUUCCUUUUUGGUGGGUGUGGAUGAGUGGCGAACGGGUGAGUAACACGUGAGUAACCUGCCCCCUUCUUCUGGAUAACCGCAUGAAAGUGUGGCUAAUACGGGAUAUUCUGGGUCUGUCGCAUGAUGGGUCUGGGAAAGAUAUUGUUUCGGUGGGGGAUGGGCUCGCGGCCUAUCAGCUUGUUGGUGGGGUGAUGGCCUACCAAGGCGGUGACGGGUAGCCGGCCUGAGAGGGUGGACGGUCACACUGGGACUGAGACACGGACCAGACUCCUACGGGAGGCAGCAGUGGGGAAUAUUGCACAAUGGGCGCAAGCCUGAUGCAGCGACGCCGCGUGAGGGAUGGAGGCCGUCGGGUUGUGAACCUCUUUCGCCAGUGGAGCAGGCCUGCCUCGUUUGUGGGUGGGUUGACGGUAGCUGGAUAAGAAGCGCCGGCUAACUACGU
rnacentral:rRNA from 1 species